rnacentral:rRNA from 1 species
AGAGUUUGAUCCUGGCUCAGGAUGAACGCUGGCGGCGUGCUUAACACAUGCAAGUCGAACGGAGUUUAUACGGAAGGAGUCUUCGGGCAACGGAAGUAUAAACUUAGUGGCGGACGGGUGAGUAACGCGUGGGUAACCUGCCUUAUACAAGGGGAUAACAGAGGGAAACUUCUGCUAAUACCGUAUAAAAAUAUUUCACGCAUGUGAGAUAUUUGAAAGAUUUAUCAGUAUGAGAUGGACCCGCGUCUGAUUAGGUAGUUGGUGAGGUAGAGGCUCACCAAGCCGACGAUCGGUAGCCGAUCUGAGAGGAUGACCGGCCACAUUGGGACUGAGACACGGCCCAAACUCCUACGGGAGGCAGCAGUGGGGAAUAUUGGACAAUGGGGGCAACCCUGAUCCAGCGACGCCGCGUGAGUGAAGAAGUAUUUCGGUAUGUAAAGCUCUAUCAGCAGGGAAGAAAAUGACGGUACCUGACUAAGAAGCCCCGGCUAACUACGUGCCAGCAGCCGCGGUAAUACGUAGGGGGCAAGCGUUAUCCGGAUUUACUGGGUGUAAAGGGAGCGUAGACGGCAAAUAAAGUCUGAAGUGAAAUCCCGCAGCUCAACUGCGGAGUUGCUUUGGAAACUUAUAAGCUGGAGUGUCGGAGGGGUAAGCGGAAUUCCCAGUGUAGCGGUGAAAUGCGUAGAUAUUGGGAGGAACACCGGAGGCGAAGGCGGCUUACUGGAAGAUAACUGACGUUGAGGCUCGAAGGCGUGGGUAGCAAACAGGAUUAGAUACCCUGGUAGUCCACGCAGUAAACGAUGAAUACUAGGUGUCGGGAGGGAAUAACCUUUUCGGUGCCGUCGCAAACGCAAUAAGUAUUCCACCUGGGGAGUACGUUCGCAAGAAUGAAACUCAAAGGAAUUGACGGGGACCCGCACAAGCGGUGGAGCAUGU